CGAAAGGGGAGGAAGGAGCUGGGUUUUCUUGGAAAAAGCUGGCGCAGAGAUGAAACUGGAAGGGAGAGAGAGCUGUGAUGUCCCAGGUGUCAGCUGCAGUCCUCAGGUCACAACAGCCUCUGCGUGGGUUCGGGGAAGCCCUGCACCCCACCUGCCCGCCACACAGCAGGGGACACUGAGGAAGCCGUGGGGCCGCCUGCCUCUGCAUCACCCCAGUAGUGGGGAUUGAACCCUGGACCUAAGUCCCCCAAGAUAGCACCCUGCCAAUGAAGAAUCUGAAUUCCGUUGUGUGUUUUGUGGCCAGACUAUUUCUGCACCCAAGAGAUCUGCCUUCGCCUCACAGACUGGACCCAGCCUGGGGCUGUGUGAAGAGCUGCUGAAUAAAACUGACCAGAUCUGCACACCUGCGCCGUGCAUGUGGACCUGGGCGCGGAGGACGAGCACCCUCGGCGGCCCCUCAGGCUCUAAGAACCUUGCUCGUCCUCAUGAUGUCCACCAGCGUGUCAUGCACGGUGUCCCUGUUCUUCUCCAGGAAGCCUUCGCACUCAUACUCCACCUGCCAGAGGGACGCGGGGUUUCCAGAGGCAGACAGCAGGGAUGCGC